CGCACGAGGCCUUUACUGACGCUAAAGCUCGAAGGUGCGGGUAUCGAACAGGAUUAGAUACCCUGGUAGUCCGCACGGUAAACGAUGGAUGCCCGCUGUUUGCGAUACACUGUGAGCGGCCAAGCGAAAGCGUUAAGCAUCCCACCUGGGGAGUACGCCGGCAACGGUGAAACUCAAAGGAAUUGACGGGGGCCCGCACGAGCGGAGGAACAUGUGGUUUAAUUCGAUGAUACGCGAGGAACCUUACCCGGGCUUGAACUGCCGGCGAACGAUACAGAGAUGUUGAGGCCCUUCGGGGCGCCGGCGGAGGUGCUGCAUGGUUGUCGUCAGCUCGUGCCGUGAGGUGUCGGCUUAAGUGCCAUAACGAGCGCAACCCCUCUCCGUAGUUGCCAUCGGGUGAUGCCGGGCACUCUGCGGACACUGCCACCGUAAGGUGUGAGGAAGGUGGGGAUGACGUCAAAUCAGCACGGCCCUUACGUCCGGGGCUACACACGUGUUACAAUGGGUGGUACAGAGGGCAGGCGUCCGGCAACGUCCGUCUAAUCCCGAAAGCCAUCCUCAGUUCGGACUGGGGUCUGCAACCCGACCCCACGAGGCUGGA
rnacentral:rRNA from 1 species